rnacentral:rRNA from 1 species
CCUACGGGGCGCAGCAGUGGGGAAUAGUGGGCAAUGGGCGCAAGCCUGACCCAGCAACGCCGCGUGAAGGAAGAAGGCUUUCGGGUUGUAAACUUCUUUUCUGAGGGACGAAGAAAGUGACGGUACCUCAGGAAUAAGCCACGGCAAAGUACGUGCCAGCAGCGGCGGUAAUACGUAGGUGGCAAGCGUUAUCCGGAUUUAUUGGGUGUAAAGGGCGUGUAGGCGGGAAAGCAAGUCAGAUGUGAAAACUCAGGGCUCAACCCUGAGCCUGCAUUUGAAACUGUUUUUCUUGAGUGCUGGAGAGGCAAUCGGAAUUCCGUGUGUAGCGGUGAAAUGCGUAGAUAUACGGAGGAACACCAGUGGCGAAGGCGGAUUGCUGGACAGUAACUGACGCUGAGGCGCGAAAGCGUGGGGAGCAAACAGGAUUAGAUACCCGGGUAGUC